GAUCCCAAGCUUGCUGCUGGAUUAGUGGCGAACGGGUGAGUAACACGUGAGUAACCUGCCCUUAACUCUGGGAUAAGCCUGGGAAACUGGGUCUAAUACCGGAUAUGACUCCUCAUCGCAUGGUGGGGGGUGGAAAGCUUUUUGUGGUUUUGGAUGGACUCGCGGCCUAUCAGCUUGUUGGUGAGGUAAUGGCUUACCAAGGCGACGACGGGUAGCCGGCCUGAGAGGGUGACCGGCCACACUGGGACUGAGACACGGCCCAGACUCCUACGGGAGGCAGCAGUGGGGAAUAUUGCACAAUGGGCGCAAGCCUGAUGCAGCGACGCCGCGUGAGGGAUGACGGCCUUCGGGUUGUAAACCUCUUUCAGUAGGGAAGAAGCGAAAGUGACGGUACCUGCAGAAGAAGCGCCGGCUAACUACGUGCCAGCAGCCGCGGUAAUACGUAGGGCGCAAGCGUUAUCCCGGAAUUAUUGGGGCGUAAAGAGCUCGUAGGCGGUUUGUCGCGUCUGCCGUGAAAGUCCGGGUCUCAACUCCGGAUCUGCGGUGGGUACGGGCAGACUAGAGUGAUGUAGGGGAGACUGGAAUUCCUGGGUAGCCGUGAAAUGCGCAGAUAUCAGGAGGAACACCGAUGGCGAAGGCAGGUCUCUGGCCAUUAACUGACGCUGAGGAGCGAAAGCAUGGGGAGCGAACA
rnacentral:rRNA from 1 species